rnacentral:rRNA from 1 species
UACGUAGGGGGCAAGCGUUGUCCGGAUUUAUUGGGCGUAAAGAGCGUGUAGGCGGCUUGACAGGGCUGCUGUGAAAACUCGAGGCUCAACCUCGAGAUGUCGGCGGAAACCGUCUGGCUAGAGUCCGGAAGAGGAGAGUGGAAUUCCUGGUGUAGCGGUGAAAUGCGCAGAUAUCAGGAAGAACACCUAUGGCGAAGGCAGCUCUCUGGGACGGUACUGACGCUGAGACGCGAAAGCGUGGGGAGCGAACAGG